UACGUAGGGGGCAAGCGUUGUCCGGAAUUAUUGGGCGUAAAGAGCGUGUAGGCGGCCAGAUAAGUCCGCUGUGAAAUCUCGAGGCUCAACUUCGAGCUGUCGGUGGAAACUAUCUGGCUAGAGUCCGGAAGAGGAGAAUGGAAUUCCUGGGUGUAGCGGUGAAAUGCGCAGAUAUCAGGAAGAACACCCGUGGCGAAGGCGGUUCUCUGGGACGGUACUGACGCUGAGACGCGAAAGCGUGGGGAGCGAACAGG
rnacentral:rRNA from 1 species